GCGAAAAAGGGAAUCUGUGGGCUGCACAGCCAAACCGCACGCGCACAGAGGUACAGCUGGACCCAGGGAGGACUGGAUUUAGAGAUUCAACGGUCGUGAGGACUUCCUCUCUCCAUGCACAAAACCCCACAGACGGGGCGGUCUGGACAGCGGGCAUUUGUGCCCUACAGGUGGGCAAGCCCAAGGCCAAGGCACCUGCACACUCACUCUCGAGGAGGGUCCGCCUCCGGGCUUGCAGGCGGCCGCCUCCUCGCCCACCCUCCCAUGGGCUCUGCUCUGCCUGAGCGCUCGUGGGCGCAGAGAAGGGCAGGCCCCCGAAGGGCACUCAUCCCAUCCUGGGGGGCCCCACCCUCAGGACGUCAUCCAAACCUCCUUACCUCCUAAUACCGUCCCCUUGGGGAUCAGGACUUCAACAUGUGAAUUUGGUGGGGAGGACACGUUCAGGCUGUCGUGACCCAGGCCUCUGAUUCGCCCCGACCGUUGGAUUCAUGCUCGCGAUGGAGCUGUCCCCGCAAGGCCAAGGUCACCGGAGCAAGGAGAAGUGCGCCAGAAUCCCAGCGUCCCCUCCCAGCUCUGGGCUGAGAGAACCAGGAGGCCUCCUGCUUGGCUUUGCCAGGCCACGUGCACUUUCCUGGCCAGCCGCUUUGGCCCAAAGGACGAGGCCACUAUGAUUGGCCUGGGCAGAUCACAUGCUCAGGCGGUCACAUGGCCGCCAGGAAAGCUGGCGUGGGGAGGAAGCCUCCAGAGCGCCGUCGUAUGUAGGCACCUCGCGCGACGCAUGCCUGUUGCAAAGCGACCCGGAAGCGGAAGCGGAUGCCGUGGGGCUGUGCGGGGCCCUCGCUGGCAGGAGACUCCUUGGUGGCGGGGCUGGAGAUAAUUCAGGGCACUUACUUUGCAAGGGGUUGAAAGCUGUGCGAUGGCAUUUUGUAAACCGGAAACGCUGUUUGUUACUAUUAGGACAGAGGCGGGAUGCCCCGGUGCUGUGGUUUCGCUGCAAUUUACUUUAAAAUGCUUCAGCGCCAAAAGAGCGAUCUGAAUUGUUGACCACCCACCGCCUGCGUGUCCAGCUGCUGAUUCCGGAGGAUGGGGGCCAACCCGAGUCUCACCAGCUGGGUCUCCAAUCCCGCUGCGAGAGUACUGUCACAUUGGCUUCAGGAAGAAGGACGAGGAACGAUACCAGCCACAACCAGAGUUUGCCAAGGGCAGGAUGGGGCGCAGGUAGAUAGGAGACUGGGAUUCCCAGGGCUGUUGCCCCUCUGCUCAGCUGCUGGAUCCGGGGCGAGCCACUUCAGCUCUUCGGUCCCCAAUGUUUUUCAUCUGAAGAUAAAGUGAUUAAACUAGAGAAUCUUUAAGACUCUCCUCAGCUCUAAAUAGUCUUGGACUCCAUGAAAUGGGUUGUUCGUGGAUUACUCUCUACAAAGCCUCCGAGUUUGGGAAACGAUUGUCAUCCUUUGUGGAAGGUUACGCUUUCUAAAGAUGGCCACAGCGACUCGUCCCAUCCCGCAGGCCCAUGGCCACUCUGCCAUCGGGAAGUGGAGUCUGAUUCUCAUCCCCUUAAGUCUGUGCUGACCUGAUAACUCGCUUGCUAUCCCAGGGGACCAUGGGAGCGUGUAACUACUGAACCGUGAGAGAAACUACCCUGACGGCCUUCCCAAAAGGCUAUGCAGAUUCCAGUUCUCUCAGAACACUAGCUGCUGAAGAAUCUAGCACCGUAGAAGAAACCCCACUGGGCUGAGCCCGCCAUGCUGGAGGGGCUCUGUAUAGGCAUUCAUGCGGACCACCCGGCUGAACUUCCAGCCUGCGGCCAGCCUCACCUGCCGGCUCUGUGCAUGUGCCAUCUCGGCCAUCCAGCCCCAGGAGACCUUCAGAUGACUGAGGCCUCAGGUGACAUCAUACCGUGAGCCGCAUGAGAGAUCCCACAGGUGAAGAGUCCAGCUGAGCCUUUCGGAAUUCCUAACCGCCCCCCCCCCAAACCAUGAGCAAAAUAAAAUGGUUGCUGUUCUACACCCCUGUGUUUUGAAGCAAUUUAUCAUAC